GUAAAGAGCAACAUCGGCAAAUUUAUUGGAUAGCCGUCAACUUAUUCUAGUCACUUAGUUGUUUGCUUCAUUAUGUGAAUACUUGUUCUCAAUUUAAAGCACUUAUGAAAGUUUAAAGUUUCUCUUUCAAAUCAUCAAAUACUGAGAGACUGAUUUAAUACAACUUUAUUGAAAGAACUAUAGGAAGAGUCUAUACAGAAAGAUGAUUUUUAUUUCUAUGAACAUAUAAUACAAGGAUAGAGUCUUUUAUUACAAUAUUAAUCAUGAAGACUCACUUAACUAUAAUACUCUAUUUCCGGUGACACUCUUCAAAGACCUCAUCAUGCAUGCUUUAUUUUCUUCACAUAAAUAUAGCAUAACAUGCAAGUUCAAGAUCACACGCAUUCAAUUCGCUUCUUAGCAACAAGACAGAGAGGAUUUUUCUUGUGUUGAAUAAGUCCGGCUUGACCAUGAGUGUCAAUGUCUUCCCUCUUAGCUCCUUCAGGCAUUUCCCAGUCAAAUGAAUAGAGAAGAUUAGAAAGUACAAGGUCGAUGGUAGCAAUAGCCAUGUUUAAGCCGGGGCAAAUUCUUCGCCCAGAACCAAACGGAAUCAGCUCAAAAUCUUGUCCUUUUAAAUCUAUAUCACUUCCUAUGAAUCUCUCUGGAUAAAACUCUUCUGGAUCCUUCCAUACUUCUGGGUCUCUAUGGAUCGCCAAUGCAUUCACGUACACCAAUGUCUUGUCUGGAAUGUCGUACCCUGCAAUGUUGCAAUUUGUCAUUGUUUCUCUUGGUAAAAGUAUAGGCAAAAUUGGGUACAAUCUCAUCGAUUCUUUUAUAACGGCCUUGAAAUAUGGAAGCUUUUCGACAUCUUCUUCCUCUAUAAAACCUUUCCCUGCACACACUUUCCGAAUCUCUUCUUGUACUUUCUGCAUCGCUCUUGGAUUCUUCAUUAGCGCAGUCAUAGCCCAGACUACCGCUGCCGCAAUUGUUUCUGUCACAGCAAACGACAUAUUCUGCAAUAUUGGACAAGUUUCAAUAUGUUUCAUGAACUAUUCUGCAAAGAUAAAAUGUUUUGAAAUUGAACCAAGAUGAAGGCUUAAUAAGAGUGAAGAAUAAAAAUAAUUAAAAAAAAACAUUAACCAUGAUCAAGGGCUUGAUGUGUUCUGCAGUGAGAUCCAUUGAGCAGUAAGGAUCAUUCUUCAGUUCAAUCAAGGCAUCAAUAACAUCAUCCUCAUGUGGAGGCAACUUCUUCCUUUCUGGAUCAAGAUGUUCAUCAACAAUACUUUGAUAAAGUUCAUCUGAAACCUUGAACGUUUUCUCAAGGCGACUCGUCUUUCCGGUGAGCUUAUCAACAAUCCCUCCAACAAAGGGCAAAUAAUCCGCGUAAAAGAACGAAAUUAGCAAAUCCUGAACUUCUUUAUGCAGACCUUGAAACAUGCUACGCUCAAUUCCUUCCCCUUCAUACCUUCUGCCGAAGGCGGUCUUACAAACUAAAGUACUUGUAAGACAAGUAAGAAGAUCCUGCAUGUUCAUAACUUUGUUGGAAGAAGCAUUUUCUGAUAUCUUCUUGAUCAUUCGUGUCACCUCAUCUUUUCUAACUGAGUAAAACAUUGAGACUCUUUUGACACUAAGAAAAUGAAUAAAGGAAAGUUUUUUUGUGUGUCUCCAAUAUUCUCUAUAUGGUGCAAAUAUUUGAUCUAAUCCAUUAUAUGAUAUUUUCAUAUGGCUGAUUAACGCGGGUCGGUUACAGAAUUCGAUAUCAUGUGUUUUCAUUACUUCUUUGGCCAUUUUUGCUGAUGAAACAACGACUGUUUGCUUUGAACCAAGUUUAAGGGAGAUUAUAGGGCCAUAUUUCUUAGAGAGUUCAUAGAAAUUUAAACCAAGAACUGAACUAUCAAGUUGGUGUAAGUUUCCAAUGAAAGGAAGGCCUUUAGGACCUGGUGGAAGAGUUGUUGAUUUCUUAGAUGUUUUGUGUUUUUUGAACAAGAAGAAUAGCAAGAGAGCAAAGGGUAAAAGAAUAAGGGGUGACAUGUUUUUGUUCAUGAAUUAGGGAUAGCUAUUCAGCUAUUGUAAUAUAUAGAUAGACACCACCAACUCUUUUUAAGGUACUUCACUUAUAGUUUUGGAUAAGAACGUUAUGUCAUAAUUUGAUCCAUGUAGCUGACUGUACUUAAGGGAUAAGGUUUGAUUGUUUUUGUCACAUUGCAUUUUGAAUACAUCAGUAUAGGACGAAUAUAGACACGAAAAGCAAACAUCAGCCGAUUAAUACUAUUUAUUAUUACCCUUAAAAUGACUAAACCACUUUUUGAAUACAUAAGUAUGGGACGAAUAUAGACACGAAAAGAAAACAUCAGUCAGUUAAUACUAUUUAUUAUUACCCUUGAAAUGAGUAAACCACUUUUUGAAUACAUCAGUAUGAGACGAAUGUAGACACGAAAAGCAAACAUCAUCCAGUUAAUAUUAGUUAUUAUUACCCUUAAAAUGACUAAACCACUUUUUGAAUACAUCAGUAUGGGACGAAUAUAGACACAAAAAGAAAACAUCAGCCAGUUAAUACUAUUUAUUAUUACCCUUGAAAUGAGUAAACCACUUUUUGAAUACAUCAGUAUGGGACGAAUAUAGACAUGAAAAACAAACAUCAGCAAGUUAAUAUUAUUUAUUAUUAUUUAUUAUUACCCUUGAAAUGACUAAACCACUUUUUGAAUACAUCAGUAUGAGACGAAUAUAGACACGAAAAGAAAACAUCAGCCAAUUAAUACUAUUUAUUAUUAUUUAUUAUUACCCUUGAAAUAAGUAAACCACUUUUUGAAUACAUCAGUAUGGGACGAAUAUAAACACGAAAAGAAAACAUCAGCCAGUUAAUACUAUUUAUUAUUAUCCUUGAAAUGACUAAACCACUUUUUGAAUACAUCAGUAUGGGACGAAUGUAAACACGAAAAGCAAACAUCAGCAAGUUAAUAAUUAUUAUUUAUUAUUUCAAGUAAACCACUUUUUGAAUACAUCAGUAUGGGACGAAUAUAGACACAAACAACAAACAUCAGCCAGUCAAUACUAUUUAUUACUCCAUCCGUUUCAAAAUGAGUGUCAUUUUAACCAAAAAAAAAUUGUAUUAAAAUGAUUGUCACUUUCAGUUUCCAAUGCAAUAAUAACAAUUGUUUCAAAAAUUGUUGUACAAAUAUCAUUUCUCUUUUUAUUAUUUGAUUCUCACACUCUAAACUAAACAAAUAUCGAGAUGUCAAUUUAUCCAAAAAUAAAUAAAUAUCGACAUGUCAAUGCUAUUUUAUUAUUUAUUAUCACACCGUAAAUCUCUGAAAACAAUAAGCUUGCACAAAACUGCAUGUCUUCGUGGAUUCAACAUUUCUUUUAAGAUGUAAAAUUAUGUAAAAGACAACGAGUUAAAAUUAUAUCAAUAUAUAUAUAUAUAUAUAUAUAUAUAUAUAUAUGGGGUUUGCUAACUUAGAACAACAAAAAAACGUGAAGGUCCAAGUUAGCAAAAAUGCACUUUUUCAUUUGAACAAAAAAACAAAUAUCCAAAUUGGUAAAUAUCCCUCAAGCUAUUUGUUAUAAAAUAAAAGUGGGUCUAAGUUAGCAAGCAAAUUGGUGUAAGUUAACAAACAUGUUUUAAUGAAAAUUACUAAAGUAACCCUCAAACUAUUUGUAAUAAAAUAAAAGUGGGUCUAAGUUAGCAAAUUGGUGCAAGUUAACAAAUAAGUUUUAAUAUAAAUUACUAAAAGAUUAUCAACUUUUUUGUUAUAACUUGCUAAAAGACACUUUAAUAAAAAUUAGUUGGUGUCUUUUAACAAAUGCCUAUAAGAUAACUUGCUAAAAUACACCUUCAUAAAGGGUGUCUUCUAUAUAUAUAUAUAUACCAAAAAAAGUUGAUUUUAUAUCAUUAUACAUUUCACCAAAUGAUAUACAUUUCAACUAACGAUAUAUAUUUAAUCUAAUCCGCCCCAAGAUCUAUGCUAACAUCAUCAAGAUUAUAGCUUUUAUCAUUUUCAAUCUUCACACCAUCUUCAACCUUCUUCUCAGCAUCAAGCUUCUUUACAAGAUCAACCAUCUGUCUGAUAUAUCUAUCAGGCCAUCUUUUUGCAUCAUCUAGAGAGUGUUGUCACCAUAGCGGGCAAAUGGGAGGAAUUGGAAAACCAUCAUUCAAAUAUAUUAUCAUAAAAUGGUUGUCAUUCACAUGUGUCAGACACAUCAAUCGACCUCUAUGUGAUGGUGCACCACAUAGAGGGAAAUAGGUUUCCAAUCACCCUUUCGCAAUAGACAGUAGAACCACCACAUGUUUGUAUCUCUGUACAAUGAGGAAACUCAUAUCCGGCAUGGUCAUCCAUUUAUCCGGUGGUGCAUGACCAAUAUCGGAAUAAGUUAGAGCGCCUAAGACCUGUUUAUAUCGCCUAUCUACACAAAUCAUCUGUCGAUAGCACGCAUUUUCUUCAUCGAUAAACUCUUUGUGAAGUUGGUAACAGAUCAACUGGCGAGCAUCAACAUACAUGUCACGUAGGUCCGCAACGGCACAAACCCCACAAUGGCCAUCACAACUACAUCCACCUCCUUUUCAAUAAAUUCAUGCAUCCAAUGUGGGAUUUGUUCUUUGUGUGGUAUGUGGACUUUAACCAGAAUUGGCUUAGGAGGAUUAUAAGACAUGUUGCUUUUCCGUGCACUUUCUCUACUUGUCCCUGUUGAAUUUGUAUGUGAAGCACGUGUUUGUUGAUCCUGGGAGUCAACAAUCUCCUAGAGCAAAGGCGAUCAUUUUGUUGACUAAAUGAUAUGUUUAUUUUUCUUUGGAGCUCCUUUAGGGGGUGACUUUUUUUGGCGGUGGACGCAUAGAGGUCAUCUCCUGCAAAGAAAACUGUCGAAAUUGUUCUUUGAUGCGCACCUUCAUGUUGUAAUCAACGUCCUUGAUUCGGGCCUACAAUGCGUACAAAAAUCUGUCAGGUGGAAUGUUGUAGAAAUCUAAGAAAAUAUGCAUUAUGUUUUGUCCAGUGACUAUUCGGAUUAUAUAAUCUGAAACAUCUCAACCCCCCCCCCCCCCCCCCAGAUCAUGCAAACCAAGUACGUCUGCAUGGUGCUUAAAUGAAAAUUUUUCGGAUUAUAUAAUCCAAAAUUCAUUUAAUAGCUUUUCAUAUUAUAUAAUCUGAAUUCAACCAGUACAUAAAUAGAUCACCCUCUUACUCGAACUUCAACCUCAUCUAGUGAGUGUGGAUGUCAUCCAAACAAAUGGGGGUGUUGUUCUUGAUCUUCAUUGCAAUCGUACACGCACAUGGAAAUCUGUAAGCGAUGAAAAUUAAACAACCACACUUGGAUUUAUCCGUACUACAACCAACUACUCGAUCAACCUCGAUUGCGAGAUAAUGCAAAGCGUUCCUUGGUAUGUUUCGAAUCAACCUAGCCACAACAACUUUCCUUUGAACCUAUGUUCAAGCAUGAUCAUGCUCGUCUAGAAGGAAGCAUGUAUUUGAGUAUGUUGUGACUCUAGCAUGUUGUGAGUGGAGUUCCAUUUUGUACUUAAUUCACCCAUACUACUAUAGUAAGAUACUUUUUCAACGGUCUGUGUGCAUAUUCUGCUCUGUUUGUCGUAGUAUUUCCCAUAUGCUUGACUUUAGUGAACCAAAAAUUCACAAUCUAUUCCUUCACCGAACCCAAAAUUAUAUUUUCAACAUAUUUCAAAAACUUAGGAAAUUUGUGGCAUACAACUUUGAACCGGUUGCAAUUAUCAACAUAUGCUUGCUCUGUAUCAAAAUUCACGAUAUCCUCCCAUGCAACCAUAACCGUUUUCACCACCUCACUUAACUUGAUCUCUUUCCCAUCCUUGCCUUUUAAAUCCUUAACUUUGCAAUCCGUCUUACAUUUUGCUCUAACAUUUUUUUAAUGUGAUACUCACACAAGAGAGCAGUAGCUUCAAGGAAAACAAUAUACACAACAUUCAUCAAAGCAUGUUAAUAAUUAGAGACAGCUACAUUGGGUGAAAUAUCUUUGGAAUGCAACAGUUCACGACACCUGUCAUGAGACCAAGUAACAUUAUCUUCCUUCUCAUACAUCAUAUAACCAAAUCCAAUAGAGAACAUGUACUCGAUAUAAGUGUUACUAACAAACUCAAGUAACGGAAGACGAUACUUGUUGGUCUUAUAAAUCGAACCCAUCACAAGCACCGUAGGCAACAUGUUAAACAACUUGAUACCAUUUGGAUGUGCUUGGAAAAUAUCACUUACAUCAUCGGAAUCAUGAUACUUCCUACGUGAUACAUGUACUCCUUCUCAACCAAUUAUUUCAAAAGAUGUUGCAUGCCUGUUCUCGUACCCCUAAUAGACGUCCGACGAUUUUAUGACCUUUCAACACCUCUUCCAUGUCAUGGUUGUGUCUACCGUCACCAACUUGGAGGCUCCAAUCACCAACAAUUAACAAAUAACCUCUCAACCGAAACAAACACUCACAUUUAACUGAACCAGAUAUUUUGUGUCUCUUCAACUUCUUGUACUCCGUGUAUGAACCUCCUCUUUUACAUAUCACAAUAACAAAUGCAUUUAUCCCAUUUCCACCUCUAUCUGAUUUACCAAUAACGGUUGAAAAACCUAGCUUCCUCUCGAAGCCACUUCAAAAAAUCGUUAUGAAUAGCAAACUUUUGUUUGAUGGUAAAAUUUUCUUGAUGAUUAAUAGAAACAACAACAUCUUGAGGUACAACAAUCGAAGGAGCAUUCUCUGCUUUCACAUUGCCGGAAGGAAUGUCAACUUUCGGUGGAGGUACCUCGGGUUUGCCGUUUUCAGAAUCAUCUAUAACUUCAAGAUCAACAACCGACAGCACAUUAGGUGGUUCAAUAUUAGGUGGCUAUUCAUUGGACGCAUCAACAGAAACAUCCAUUACUGAAACAGUGCGAAAGCAUGGUCAGAAAAUGCAAGCACUUUAUGUACUGGUGUUAUUCUUUAUUUAUCACACUCUAAAUCUUUAAGAUAUACACAUCACUGACUUCUUUAAGGCACUUUAUAAUAUGUGUCAUCGCCAUUAAAGUUACAAUAUUAUUUUAAAUUGUUUUUGUCUCAUUUCAUUUUGAAUACAUCAGUAUGAGACGAAUAUAGACACAAAAACAAACAUCAGCAAGUCAAUACUAUUUAUUAUCUUUUGUAAAAAAAAAAAGAAAAAAAAUACUAUAUAUUAUCUAUUUAUCACACUUUAAAUGAGUAAACUACCAAUUUUGUCUUAAUCUUUAUAAUUUUGAAAAACGUUUGACAAUAUUUCUAAAUAGUCUAUGUCUUUGCCAAAAGUUUCUCCAUUAAACGCAUGUUUCUAUGUUUUUUUCGCAUGACGAGAGACUUAAUUGAGAAAACUUUUGACAAAGGCAUAGACUAUUUUAAAAUAUUAAUAGAGUCGGAGGAUAAUUUGAGAAUCACUUACAAAGACAUGACCGAUUUGAUUAUUUACUCCACUUCAAAUCCUUUAAUGUAGACACUACCAACUCUUUUAAGAGCAUCCAUAAUGGUAGUAACUAAUAGGGACUCCUUAAAUGAGCUUCACAUGUACAAAUUAUUUAUUUAUAAUUUUUUAAUAAAAGUAUCUAUUAAGGACUCAAUGACUCUAAAGACAAUACACUAAUAUGGAUUUCAAUAAAAAAUACUUAAAUAUGUCCGACUAACUUUACAUCAUUAUACAAAAGUAAUUUAUUUAUUACAUUAUCAAUUACCUCAUAAAAUAUUUCUUUUAAAAGUGGAACCAACUUAUAUAUAUUUUAUCAUUUUUUUAAACUUUGGACCAGUUAGUUUUUCAGAAGAGAGAAUCCUUAUAUAAUUGUAUGUUAUUUAAUAGAUACUUUUUUUUUUCCUUUAAUAGAAUGUCCUUGACAGAGAAUGAUCCUUAUUAAGCAAGGACCUCAUAUUAAUGAUGCUCUAAGACACUUUCUCUUGUAUGUCAACUUUUCAAAUCUAUCAACACAAAAGUUACAAUAUCAUAAUAUCAUAAAGUUAACAUUCAACAUCGCUCAAGAGAACACACAUUAAAAGAAAAUAUUUUUUAAUUUUUUUUCAACUCAUUUCAUUUUGGGUAUAGUAAUAGCGGUUGAAUAAAGACACUAGAGCCAGUCCAAUCACACUUUUUUAUUAUUUGAUUCUCACACUCCAAACAAAUAUCAACAUAUCAAUGUUAUUUUAUUAUAAGUUUAAUAAUGGUAGGUUGACGGUUUAAAACAAUUUUGCAUACACAUCGCAAUCAAAACAUUUCAAAUUGCAGCAAAACGGACAGAUCCAGGGAACUUCAGGUGGCUGCAUGUACAUAAAAGACAAACAAAUGAUAUGAUGUAACAGGUACGUUGCAUGACAAAUUUCUUCUCUAUGAUUGUAAUGCUACAAAUUCAAUUGAUAUUCCGACAGCAAAUUAUUUUCAUUAGGAAAUAUAUAUACAUUGGUUGUUUUCCGGACAGAUACAUGGAAUUUCAUCGAAUAGAUUAAAUUAUAGAUAGUGCAAAUAACAAAAGGAAAAAUAUUGCUCUAGUGACAUCAUUUUGGUUGGUUUUUCAAUAGGCUCCAGUGACAUCAUUUUAGCCACUUAUUUUUUUAGAAGCAAUCAUUUAAGCCUGUUUUAAAAAUAAAAAUAAAAACUUAUUUGUGGUUUAUAGCACAUGCGCUUAUCAUGAUAAGUGAUUAUCUAUAAGCUUACAUAAUCUGUUUCUAUGGCAAAAGAUAAAAUAAAAUUGUUUUCGUAUAUGCUAUAAGUUGUUUCCAUAAACUAUUUUGGAGAACUUACAAAAAAAAGCUUAUGAAAAAUGUCAUAAGCUAUUUUUAUAAGUUGUCCAAAACAGUAUCACAAAACUUAUGCCGGUAGAUAAGCUCAAGCCCUAAUGGGAUAACUUGUACAACUUUUCAUGAUUUGUUUCAAGAAGGAAAAUCAAACGGAACCGUAAAAACAGUUUGUAAAAACCAAGAGUUCAUGGUUUGUCAUGAACCAAACUUGUUUUAAGAUUCAGUGCACCAGGUUAUGCGCUUUUUGGACCAAUAUUGUUUUGAAUGGAGGCCAUGGUGCUGUCAUAGGCCGCAAUGGCGUGUUUAUUGGGGUUUUCUGCCAUAUUCCACACAACACUGUUUUGAAUAAAUAGGUUCUAUCUUUAUAGAACAGAGAUGUUACCUUUACGAACCGAACUGUAUCUUGACUAACCGAGAUGCCCCCAUAGGCUUGGUUUGUGUGUGUAGUACGCGGUAACAAUUUCCAGAUUUCAAUUUGAGUAUUAUGUUUUUCCAGAAUUGUGGGCAUACAGGAGUAAAGAGCAACAUCGGCAAAUUUAUUGGAUAGCCGUCAACUUAUUCUAGUCACUUAGUUGUUUGCUUCAUUAUGUGAAUACUUGUUCUCAAUUUAAAGCACUUAUGAAAGUUUAAAGUUUCUCUUUCAAAUCAUCAAAUACUGAGAGACUGAUUUAAUACAACUUUAUUGAAAGAACUAUAGGAAGAGUCUAUACAGAAAGAUGAUUUUUAUUUCUAUGAACAUAUAAUACAAGGAUAGAGUCUUUUAUUACAAUAUUAAUCAUGAAGACUCACUUAACUAUAAUACUCUAUUUCCGGUGACACUCUUCAAAGACCUCAUCAUGCAUGCUUUAUUUUCUUCACAUAAAUAUAGCAUAACAUGCAAGUUCAAGAUCACACGCAUUCAAUUCGCUUCUUAGCAACAAGACAGAGAGGAUUUUUCUUGUGUUGAAUAAGUCCGGCUUGACCAUGAGUGUCAAUGUCUUCCCUCUUAGCUCCUUCAGGCAUUUCCCAGUCAAAUGAACAGAGAAGAUUAGAAAGUACAAGGUCGAUGGUAGCAAUAGCCAUGUUUAAGCCGGGGCAAAUUCUUCGCCCAGAUCACCCUCUUACUCCAACCUCAACCUCAUCUAGUGAGUGUGGAUGUCAUCCAAACAAAUGGGGGUGUUGUCUUGAUCUUCAUUGCAAUCAUAAACGCACAUGGAAAUUUGUAAGCGAUGAAAAUUAAACAACGACACUUGGAUUUAUCCGUACUACAACCAACUACUCGAUCAACCUCGAUUGCAAGAUAAUGCAAAGCGUUCCUUGAUAUGUUUCGAAUCAACCUAGCCACAUCAACUUUCCUUUGAACCUAUGUUCAAGCAUGAUCAUGCUCGUCCGGAAGGAAGAAUGUAUUUGAGUAUGUUGUGACUCUAGCAUGUUGUGAAUGGAGUUCCAUUUUGUACUUAAUUCACCCAUACUACUAUAGUAAGAUACUUUUUUAACCGUCUGUGUGCAUAUUCUGCUCUGUUUGUUGUAGUAUUCCCCAUAUGUUUGACUUUAUUGAACCAAAACGUCACAACUUAUUCCUUCACCGAACCCAAAAUUUUAUUUUCAACAUAUUUCACAAACUUAGGAAAUUUGUGGCAUACAACUUUGAACCGGUUGCAAUUAUCAACAUAUGCUUGCUCUGUAUCAGAAUUCACGAUAUCCUCCCAUGCAACCAUAACCGUCUUCACCACCUCACUUGACUUGAUCUCUUUCCUAUCCUUGCCUUUUAAAUCCUUAACUUUGCAAUCUGUCUUACAUUUUGCUCUAACAUUUUUUUCAAUGUGAUGCUCACACAAGAGAGCAGUAGCUUCAAGGAAAACAAUAUACACAACAUUCAUCAAAGCAUUUUACUGAUUAGUGACAACUACUUUGGGUGAAAUAUCUUUGGAAUGCAACAGUUCACAACACCUGUCAUAAGACCAAGUAACAUUAUCUUCCUUCUCAUACAUCAUAUAACCAAAUCCACUAGAGAACAUGUACUCGGUAGAAGUGUUACCAACAAACUCAAGUAACGGAAGACGAUACUUGUUGGUCUUAUAAAUGGAACCCAUCACAAGCACCGUAGGCAACGUGUUAAACAACUUGAUACCAUGCAUUUAGGAAAAUAUCACUUACAUCAUCGGAAUCAUGAUAAUUCCUACGUGAUACAUGUACUCCUUCUCAACCAAUAAUUUCAAAAGAUGUUGCAUGUCUGUUCUCGUACCCCUAAUGGACUGCCUAUACCUGUGACAAGCAUUAUAAAUAUGCUUGAUAUUUGUUGAAGUUUUACUAUUCCUUUUCCUUAAGUUGGUAAGAAUUUUCCUCAGAUAAAUAUUUGAGUCCGUCAACUCAUGAAGGUAUAGGCUUUCAUUUGGGUUUAGACGUCCGACAAUUUUAUGACCUUUCAACACCUCUUCCAUGUCAUGGUUGUGUCUACCGUCACCAACUUGGAGGCUCCAAUCACCAACAAUCAACAAAUAACCUCUCAACCGAAACAAACACUCACAUUUAACCGAACCAGAUAUUUUGUGCCUCGUCAACUUCUUGUACUCCGUGUAUGGACCUCCUCUUUCACAUAUGACAAUAACACUCACAUUUAACCGAAUCAUCUAUAACUUCAAGGUCAACAACCGACAACACAUUAGGUGGUUCAAUAUUAGGUGGCAACUCAUUGGAGGCAUCAACAGAAACAUCCAUUACUGAAACAGUGCAAAAGCAUGGUCAGAAAAUGCAGUCACUUUAUGCACUGGUGUUGUUCUUGAAGUAGGGAUAGCUAUUCAGCUAUUGAAAUCUCAUGGUAUGUGUGUUAUGUAUAUCCGCUAAUAUAUAGACAACACCAACUAUUAGAAAAGAUUUAGAGAUUAAAGAGUUGAAUAAUUUGGUUUUGGAUAGAACAUUAUCCAUAAUUUAAUCUGUGUAGCUGACUAUACUUAAUGGGAUAGACCUGAUUAUUGUUGGUGUUGCUUUGAUUUUGGAUAGAACAUUAUCCAUAAUUUAAUCUAUGUAGCUGACUGUACUUAAUGAGAUAGACUUGAUUAUUGUUGUUGUUGCGUCAGUACUAUUUUAUUCCUUAUUUAUCACACUCUAAAUCAUUAAGAUAUACACACCACUGACUUCUUUAAGACACUUUAUAAUAUGUGUCAUCGCCAUUAAAGUUACAAUAUUAUUUUAAAUUGUUUUUGUCUCAUUCCAUUUUGAACACAUCAGUAUGGGAUGAAUAUAGACACAAAAGCAAACAUAAACAAGUCAAUAUUAUUUAUUAUCUUUUGUCAACAAAAAAAAAAAUACUAUUUAUUAUCUAUUUAUCACACUUUUUUUUGAAGAAACUAUCUAUUUAUCACACUUUAAAUGAGUAAACUACCAAUUUUGUCUUAAUCUUUAUAAUUUUUAAAUGAGUAAAUCAUCAAUUUUGUCUUGGUCUUUAUAAGUGAUUCACUAAUUAGUCUCUGACUCUACUAAUAUUUCAAAAUAGUCCUCGUCUUUGUCAAAAGUUUCUCAAUUAAGUUCCUCGUAUGUGAAAAAAAUAAUAGAAAUAUGAGUCUAAUUGAAAAACAUUUGACAAUAUUUCUAAAUAGUCUAUGUCUUUGUCAAAAGUUUCUCCAUUAAACCCAUAUUUCUAUGUUUUUUUCGCAUGACGAGAGACUUAAUUGAGAAAACUUUUGACAAAAGCAGAGACUAUUUUAAAAUAUUAGUAGAGUCGGGGGCUAAUUUGAGAAUCACUUACAAAGACAGGACCGAUUUGAUUAUUUACUCCACUUCAAAUCCUUUAAUGUAGACACCACCAACUCUUUUAAGAGCAUCCACAAUGGUAGUAACUAAUAGGGACUCCUUAAACGAGCUUCACAUGUACACAUUAUUUAUUUAUAAUUUUUUAAUAAAAGUAUCUAUUAAAGAUUCAAUGACUCUAAAGACAAUACACUAAUAUGGAUUACAAAUAAUGUAACAGGUACGUUGCAUGACAAAUUUCUUCUCCAUGAUUGUAAUGCUACAAAUUCAAUUGAUAUUCCGAAAGCAAGUUCUUUUCAUUAGGAAAUAUAUAUACAUUGGUUGUUUUCCGGACAGAUACAUGGAAUUUCAUCGAAUAGAUUAAAUUAUAGAUAGUGCAAAUAACAAAAGGAAAAAUAUUGCUCUAGUGACAUCAUUUUGGUUGGGUUUUCAAUAGGCUCCAGUGACAUCCAUUUUAUCCAUAAUUUUUUUUAGAAGACAUCAUUUAAGCCCUGUUUGAAUAAACCAUUUAUUCGCAGCUUAUAGCACAAGUGCUUAUCAUGAUAAAUGAUUAUCUAUAAGCUUACAUAAGCUGUUUCUAUGGCAAAAGAUAAAAUUAAAUUGUUUUGGUAUAUGCUAUAAGUUGUUUCCGUAAACUAUUUUGGAGAACUUGCAACUUUUCAUUGGCUGCAAUGGUGUGUUUAUUGGAGUUUUCUGCCAUAUUCCACCAUCCGUCAUCGACAACACUGUUUUGACUAAACAGGUUCUACAUUUAUAGAACAGAGAUGUUACCUUUGCAAACCGAACUGUUUUCUUGACUAACCAAGUUGCGAACCGAACUGUUUUGUGUGUAGUACAUGGUAACAAUUUCCAAAAUUCAAUUUGAGUAGUAUGUUUUUGCAGAAUUGCAGGCAUACAGGCGUAAAGAACAACAUCGGCGAAUUAUUGGAUAGCCGUCGACUUAUUCUAGUCACUUAGUUGUUUGCUUCAUAAUGUGAAUAUUUGUUCUCAAUUUAAAGCACUUAUGAAAGUUUACAGUUUCUCUUUCAAAUCAUCAAAUACUGAGAAGCUGAUUUAAUACAACUUUAUUGAAAGAAGGAAAAUGUAUAGAGAUACAAGAAAGAAAAACAACUGCUGAAAUCAAAGGGAACUACUUUGAAAAAUAACAUUCAAAAUCAACACAUCAUUUGUAGAACAUGGUCAUCGACUGAGUGAAAAACUAUUUAUAGGAUAAAACCUUAAUGUUCUUCACCAUUUCUCGACUCUCAGACUUCUUACAACAUGACAUAUCAGAUCAAAAUCAUCCUAUUUACCACUCCCCUGAACUACAAAGGAAUAGUUAAUACAGCAAGAUGAAUUUUAUUUCUUUGAACAUAUAAUACCACAUUAGAGUCUUUUAUUAUAAUAUUGAAUAUGAAGACUCACUUAACUAUAACAUGCAAUUUCAAGAUCACACGCAUUCAAUUCGCUUCUUAGCAACAAGACAGAGAGGAUUUUUCUUGUGUUGAAUAAGUCCGGCUUGACCAUGAGUGUCAAUGUCUUCCCUCUUAGCUCCUUCAGGCAUUUCCCAAUCAAAUGAAUAGAGAAGAUUAGAAAGUACAAGGUCGAUGGUAGCAAUAGCCAUGUUUAAGCCGGGGCAAAUUCUUCGCCCAGAACCAAACGGAAUCAGCUCAAAAUCUUGUCCUUUUAAAUCUAUAUCACUUCCUAUGAAUCUCUCUGGAUAAAACUCUUCUGGAUCCUUCCAUACUUCUGGGUCUCUAUGGAUCGCCAAUGCAUUCACGUACACCAAUGUCUUGUCUGGAAUGUCGUACCCUGCAAUGUUGCAAUUUGUCAUUGUUUCUCUUG
rnacentral:lncRNA from 1 species